rnacentral:tRNA from 1 species
GGGGUUAUAGUGUAACCUGGCAUCAUCUGGGACUCCAGUUGUCUUUGAAGAAAAUUUAACGCGUAGUCUGACAGUAUAAAUUGAUACAGAAUGAUGAUCAAUUGGAGUACUGAGACAAGAGAAAUCCUAGGAUCGGGGUUCAAAUCCCUGUGACCCCA